rnacentral:lncRNA from 1 species
UCUCUCUCUCUCUGAUACCUAAAAACUCAAAACCUCCUCUCUUUUUUAACAUCACAUGUUUUUCCCAAUUUAACCCUAGCCGACGUCUCUCUCUCUCUCCUCGAUCCCAAUCUCCGGCGAUCCCUAAUCUCCGGUCCCGACCGCCGCUUAGGGUUUUCGGCGCUCAAUUCAUUUUCACAAUCAGGAUUAAGCCUAAGGCUAAGGCUAAGGGUUUCAAUCUCCAAUCUGCGAGAUUCGGAUUCUAGGGUUUUGGAUUGACAAGGGAAUCGGAUUGGGAUUUUCUAGGGUUAGUGAUGACGAGGAGUUCGAGGCACAAGUCGAGCAAGCAUCGGGAUGUGAGGGAGUACUCGGAUUCGGAGAAGGAGAAGGAUUUGAGUUCGAAGGAUCGGAAGGAGAGCGGCGGCGGAGGAGGAGGAGGUAGGGUUUCGAAGGAGUCGAGUGAGAAGAGGAAGCUGGAUUUGAAGGAGGGGAAGGAGAGUGAGUAUUCGGAGGAGUUAGUGUCGUCGAAGCGGCGGAAGGAGAGGGCUGUUGAUGUGGUGGAUGCAGGGAGUGACAGGUGGAACGGCGGCGGCGGAGGGGAGUAUGAUCACAGGGAGAAGAAGUCGGUGAAGGGCUCCGGGGAUUCGAAGAGUAGGAAGAGGGAUGGGAGUGUGGAAAUGUAUGGGGAGGAGGUGAAGAAGAGCAGUAGCGGCGGUGGGAAGGGUGAAGGGAAGCAUAGGGAUAGGGAGAGGGAGAGGGAUAAGGAUUCGAGUCGAAAGGAGGGGAGAGAAGGCGGUGGAGUGGAGAGGGAGAAGGAUAGGGAAAGGGAGAGGGAGAAGAAAAGUAAAGAGGGGAGAAGUGGCGGCGAGGAUCAUCAGCGUGUGGCGGCAAAGCAAGGGAAUGAAAAUAAUGGUAAGGUAACUUAACUGGUUUGUUAGUUUUCGUGUGUUAUUAUAAUGUGGAUGUAUUCUGUACAUAGUUUGCUAUUAGCUGAAAUGCUGACUUUCUAUGCAGUGUAGUUCAACAUAGUAUUACAUUGUCGUAUUGGUUAUUCUGCUAUCAUGAUGAGUAAAUGCUAGUUUUGGUGAAGAUCCCGCUUAAGCUUAGAUUUUGAUAUUGACAAUCAAAAUGUGCGAGACAUACAGUCCUGAGUUUUUCUUUUUCGCUUUAUAGAAGUCAAACUGAUUGCUGCUAGGACCAUCCAUUGUACUAUAUUUGUGUAUAAUAGAUGUGAGAGUCCUGUUUAUUUGUGGUUCCCACUAAUGCCUUUCUAUAUUACUAAUUACAUUCUCGGUCAUUAUUACUUGAAGACAUUAGGCUUAACAUGACAAUUUGUCAUUGUUAGACGAACUACAUGAUUCUCUAUUGCCGGUUGCUAGCAUAAGUAAUAGUUUUGUUUAACAAUGAAGUGCUUGUUAAAUUGAUCCACAUGAUUGAUGUAGCAAAGUACCAGUUGUGGCCGUUCCAACUGCAGAUUGUGGGAAUAUAUAAAAGAUAUAGUAGUUAACACUCAUCUCUAAGGCGUGUGGGUGAUUAAUAACUUUAUCAGUAUGAUUGUGUUCAUUGUCUUGUGGAAUAUCGAGUCUGGUUUCUUCUAUUCAGAUGCUGUGAGGUUUGUAUACUUGUCUAGUUGAAGUUGACAUUCUUCCUUUUUCUGUAGUUUAGUAUCCAUUCAUAAACAAGUUGGAUGAAUCUGUCAUUGGUUCUGUUUUGGAUUCUCUCUCUUAGCUACGCUGCCUUACUAUCCAUUGUAUUGAUUUUCUUUUUCUUUUUUGGCCAGUAACUUAAUUCGUUUUUUAAUGGAGCCAAUAUAUUCAUUUUUUUUCUUGAAAGUGUAUGUAACAAAAGCCAACUAGAUUCUGCCAUAUCCGAACGGAUUAUUCAGUUAAAUACUAUAGAAUGUUGUUUCGCAUAAGUUUUGGUUGAAGUUUUAGGUUUGGAAAUUAGACUAGAAUGAAGUUAUCAGAUUGCUUGAUUACCUUAGUACAUGAGGCUGUAGAUUGCAUCAUUAUUCUGCAAGAGAUGAUUGACUUUGUUCUUCAGUUUCUCAUAUAUGAAGUGUGUGCUUUGUGUAAUAAUGACUUGUGUGACAAUAUUCUGUAGCUAGACCUGUUCAUGACUUUGUUAUAUAUAAAAGAUGAAAUUCGCCAGCCCAACUUUGUUUUGGAUGAAACUUACCUCUUAUUUUAUGGGACAUUGCAGAUUUAAAUGGACGGAAGGAUUUGGAAAGUCCUGAACCAGAGAGCCAGAUUGAUAGACGAAUGAGGAAAAGGAGAGGUGAUUCUGGUGAUACUGAUAAACAUCUAGAUUUCGUAGAAGACAUCAAUGGUGGGCGAUUAUCGUCUAAGGAUGAUUUAGGCAGGGAAGGUAGGCAGAAAGAUGAGAAGCGAAAGGAUGACAGGUAUAGGGAGAAGUAUCGUGAAGACAUGGAUAGGGACAAUAAAUCCCGAGAUGAAAAGCAAAGAGAUGAGAAGCAAAGGGAUGAACGCUCUACAAAAGAUCAUCUAAGUGUCAAGUCUGAGGAUAAGCAUUUAAGGGAUGAAAAAGAUACAAGUGAUAUGCAACAGAAGAGAUCCAAGCUUCAGGAUGGUGAGCGCAAAGGAGAGCAUGACCGUGAUCGCAAUCGGGACCGUGACUCAUAUCAUGUUCGUGAGCGUGAACGGUACCAUGACCGUGAACGUGAACAUGGGUGGGAUCAUGGCCGUGACCGUGAUCGCGAUUAUGAUCGGGAUUGGGACUGGGAUCGUGAGAGGGAUGGAGAUCGUGACCGAGAGAGGAAUCAUGACCGUGAGCGAGCUCGAGACCGUGAUAGAGAUGGUGAUCGAGAUCGUGACCGUGAUUAUGACCGGGACUAUGAAGGGUCACAUCUUGAUGAUCGUAGCACGAGAUAUAAAGAUGGUAGCAGAGGAAAGAGAAGAUCGCCAGAUGAUCGAGAUGAUUCUACUGAUACUAAACCCAGAGGUGUGAAACCUAGGUAUUCUGACUUUGAAAAGAAGUCAUCAAGUGGUGAUAGGGUUGAGUCGGAUGUUAAUAAGGGAAGAUCUCAGUCGCGGCAAGCUUAUGCAGACACUAUUAUAAGCAACAAUAAACGAAGGACUUCUCCCAGUUCAAAUUCAAAUGUUGGCAUAGAUGAGUACAGGUACUUACUAUUAUUCAUGUCAUUGUCACAUUCUAUAUAUAAGCCGAAAAAUGUGCUUUGAUUGUCAUAUUGUGGAUCUUUGGUUUUCAUGCCUCUGUAUAUCAUACCUUCAAAGUCACCCUUUACUGUAGGAUCAUGAAAAUGUACUAAGUUGUUAUUAAUUAUCCAGUUUGGGUUCCUAGUUUAUCCAUGAAUACUUUGCAAUGGUUGAAUUUCAUUAGUUUUCUUCUGUUACAGGUAUGGUAAUCCUGAAGAUAUGAAAUAUAGGGAGUCUAUAGCAGAUCAGAGGUCUAAAGCACUUCCUCCCAGAGAUGUAUCUGGAGUUUCGGAAAGAGGAUCCAAGUACAGGUCAAUGGACAAAUCCAGUAAAAUGGAUGAUAGCCAUUUAGGGGAGCUUUCAAAUGAAAAACCUUCAGGUUCUAAGGCUUCACCAAUGGCAUUGAUGGAAAGAUCUCCUUCAUCAUCAAGUAUUGACCGUAGAUUUAUGAACAAAACUGCUGCCAGACGAAGUAUUGACAUUGAAGAAACAGGUCGGAGAAGCAGUGCUUCUGAUAAUAGAGAUUUCUCUAAUACUGAGGAUAGACCGAGUCGAGACUUACCAUUGGAUGAUUCAUCCCCCGCGGAUUCAUCAACUCACAAUAGAAGUGGUCAGAGUAAUUUUUCUUCAUUUGCUCCACAUCCUAAUUUCAGGGCUGGAGUUGAAAGCCCUUCCUUUACUGGUUCAGUGGAAGACGAUAGUAGAUUAAACUCUAGUGCACGUUAUAGGAGGAGCAGUGAUCCCAAUUUGGUUCGAGGGCCUUGGAGAGGUGUCCCAAACUGGCCUUCACCAGUUCCAAAUGGUUUCAUGCCUUUCCCACAUGGGGGACCUCAUGGUGGUUUUCAAGGGAUGCUGCCACAGUUUUCAGCUCCACCAAUUUUCGGUGUUAGACCUUCAAUGGAGAUUAAUCAUUAUGCAAUUCCUUAUCAAAUUGCUGAUGAUAGGUUUCCCGGUCACUUGCGCCCACUAGGGUCUCAGAACAUUAUGGAAGGUUUGGGCCCUUCUCACAUGCAUCCAUGGGAUGGGAGUACUGGAGCCUUUAGGGAUGAUUCUAACAGUUAUGGAGCGGAAUGGGAUCAGAACAGGCAUCCAAUGAAUGCGCGGGGAUGGGAUCCCAGUGCUGAGCCAUGGAAAGCACAAAACAAUGAUGCGAAAAGGGACAUGCCCUCCCCAUCUCCCAGAAAUGAUUAUCCAUUGCAGACCCUUGUGGAUGAUGGUGUGGCUGGGCAGGCAGGGCAGACGUCUCAUCAUGAAGAUAACCAGGAUCUUGAAGUUCAUACUAAAAGAGAUGAGACAGGGUCCGCUAUAGCUUCUCCUAUGAAAGAGUCGCCUAUAAAUCAUGAGAAGUCACGGGAUGGCUCUAAAUUGGCAACUGAUAAAGUCCCUUCUUUUAGCCAUUAUUAUCUUUCCAAGCUUGACAUUUCAGCAGAACUAGCUCAUACUGAGUUGUACAGCCAGUGCAUGAGCCUACUGGAUACUGAGGGGAGCACAACUGUUGAUGAAGAUCCUACUAUGCAUACAAUUUUAAAGGUGUUUAUUGGACAACUUUGUUGAAUAUGUAUACCUUUUGUAUAUUGUCUUACUGAUUGAAAUUGCAUCUAAUGUCACAGGCUGCAACAGCAGGAUUGAGAUCAUCCAAUACAUUAUUGAGUUCCUCACUUUUUCCACCUUUGAAGGAUUCUAUUUUUCAGGUAUGCUUUACGAUACCUGAUAAUGUAUAACAUUUUCUGUACAUAGGCAUUUUGUUAAUAUUUCCGUAAUCAGGCACUUGCUUGUUCAUAUGUUAUUAAUUAGACAUGUAUGGUUUUAUGUUAAUUCAUGUAUGUUCUAGUUCUUUUUUUCUUUUUUUAGUUUUUUAAAUAACUCGGGCACCUAUAUGUUUUUGUUAUUGAAUGUUUAUGUGACAUUUGCUGUAUAUAAGUAUAUUCUUCAUUAGGUAUAUACUUGCGUUGAAAUCAUAGAAAAGCACAAACAAAACUACAACAGGGAAAUGGAAUCCAGGGAACAAUUUAGAAUAGACAUGCAUUAUAUGAAAUAUAGUGUUAAUGUAGUAAUUGUGUUUAUAGUUUGUUGACAUUUUGUCCUGUGGCUUGCAGAAAGCUAUCGAUCUUUACAAGAAGGAGAGGAUGGACGCAAAAGGCAUGCCAUAUGUUACUGGAGGAAGAUUGGAUAUUAUUUUAGCAUCAAAUCAGAAGACCAUGGAAGCAAAAGUUUGUGAAGUGGAGAAAGUGGAUCAGCUGGUGUUGAAGUCUGAUGCAGAAAUGGCAGAUGCUCCAGUGUCAAGUUCAGAUGAGAAUAAUGCUCUUGUCACUGCUUCAUCAGGUAGUGGUGAGGAAAAACUGAAUGAGCUGGUUUCAACUCCUGGUCAGGAGAUGCAAAAUCACAUCUCUCUCGGUUCUCCUGAGUUGGAAAUGGCAGUUGAAGAUUCUAGUCGAGUUGAACAGGGAGAGCCUCAAACAAUUCCAAAUGGGGUGGAAAUGGAUUCAAUAUCUUCAGAGCAGGUGAAACUAGAGGUGGACAAAGCAGAUGGUAUCUCGCUACUUAACAGUGAAGCUUCUCUUCCUACCACCACCACUUUACCUGCCGUUGGCAACAGCAUGAGCAAGGUCGAAGAAGAUAAAUCUAUUUAUCCUGCCGAGGAAGGCGUGGCUGUUGAUCCAAUAAGGGGUCCAUCAGUUAUACCAGAUGGUUCCCCUAAGGCUUGUGAUGCUUUGAUGUCUGGGUCUAAUGAGUCUGAUUCGGUAAUUUUAAGUCGGAUACAUCAUUCUCCUGAAAGUACACAUUGAGACAAUUUCUAUAUCCAUGUUUUUGUUUUCCUUUUAUUGCCUUUCAAGUUAAUUUUGCUCAUUCUAUUAUCUGUGCUUGUUUCAUCAAGAAAUAAAAUUAAAAUCCGUUUUUUCUUCCCUUUGAGAAUGGUUGUUCAUGGCCGUACUAUCUUUCUUCCUGCCCUUGGUUUUGUUGCUUGAAUUUUUGCUCCACUUUUCCUUGUUCUGGUUUCUGUGUUUGAUCGUUCUUCAUUGUUAUCAUCUGCACCAAAAUCUUUGAUCUGUUGCUUGAAAUUCUGGCACUCUGUUUUUAUUUGCCGGUUCUGUUUGAAAAUUAUUAUAUACUCCUUGCCUCACCUUGUACCACACUGUCUUGUGGAAGUAUGCAACUGUUUUUUGGGUGUUUCCAUAAAUGUGAGAUUCUGCCUUUUCAGUUGUUUGUUUGUCUUCUUUUACUGGAGUCGCAUAGUUUUAUGAACAUUUCUAUUAAAGACUUUUUUUUUAAUUUUUUUUUUCAAUUUUCAGUUUUUCAUCUCAAUUGGGCUAGAAGAUCUGUUUUUGACAUUUAUGUGAUCCUGUACGGAGGGCAUUGGUAUUUUUUGUUUUUUCUUUGUUUUCAAGUAUCUGUUUCUUUUCAUUGUUGGAAAGGAUCUAGUGUGGUCUACUAUAGUCUGGGUAAUUAGUUAGUGCUAAAUUGAACUACAGCAUUCUUAAGGGGAGACCAGAGCAUCCGCUUUUGUUCAAGUAAGAUCCAUAUCUUCAAAACUAACAUGAACUUGCUGAUUGAAUUAUGAAGUCCAUAAUUCCAUUCUCGAGGUUUGAUUUUGUGUCAUCCAUUUUCCAGUUCUGCAACUUAAGCAAUAGAAAGGGUUCAAAAACUUGUGUUACAUCUUUUGUUGCCUUGAGAUUCAAUUUUGUUAACCAAGAUUAAUUUGGUUAUUCCUUUUCCCGAACUGAAUUGAUUACCAAGUUUGGUUGGGUAUCUGUCUGUUUCCCUAUUCGAUACGGAGAAAGCCUAUAAUGAGUGUAUGUUUAUAUAUUUAUGUCGUUGGUUGGCCAAAGUUUGAUCCCACGAUAGCUGAGAACACAAAAACCCAAAAAUUCUAUAAAUUCGACAUUUCUCAAUCUCUGAAGUCGAAAUAGUGAAAUACACCCGAAGACGGGAUGGAGCCUCUAUUGAGUAUGAAAGAUUUCGAGGGCAGAAAACUUCGACUUGGUUCAUUCUUGGAUAUUUUAGGUCAGGUUGCUUGUGUUGCACGGGAGAAACACAAGCGAAGGAGGGAGGAGACAACUAUUAACAUCAAAAUCCAAAGGGGUUGUAGUAGUAGUAGCACCCCCAAGAUUAAAGUAGUCGAAGCAGCAAGUCAAGAGGACAAUGUUGAUGAUCAUGACAUGAGUUCUCGAUUGAAAAAACAGAAGAUUGUUCCCUUGCAGGUGAAUGCGUUAUAUUCAGUUGGCACAAUAACGAGUGAAAGGUCUUUAACGAGGUUUCAGGAAAAGAAUGGAUUGGCAAAGAAGAAGAGUAAUGAUGGUGGUGAAAAUGAUAGAGAUUGGAGUCUGAAGCCAAAUCCGAGGAAUAUGAACAAGAGAUUGGGAUUGAAGAGGCCAAAGGGGCAUAUACCAGCUUCAACAAAUAAUUCUGAUCCUAAUGACUUGCCUGAAGAGUUGAAAAGAAAGAUUGAAACUUUGGAAGGGAUUGAAAGUUUUGAAAAGGCCAAGAUGUACAUGGUAAUAGAGAAGCAGUUGUUCCAAACUGAUAUGGCAAAAAGCGCUAACCGGUUAUCAAUGCCUCUGAAACAAAUCAAACCGGAGAGUUUCUUGGACAAGGAUGAGAUAAAAUUUCUUGCAGAUCAAAACGACUGGCUGGUUUCGGUUAUAAGUCCCAAACUUGAGGAUGAAGCGCUAACCUUCAGGCAAUGGGACAUGCCAAAGAAUAACGGUGGUGUUAGCUCAAGUUAUGUGUUGAAACAACGUUGGAACGAAGUUCGCAACAAAAAUGGUCUCCAAAAAGAUGACUUGAUCCAAGUUUGGUCAUUCCGAGAUGUGGGAAACAACCUUCACUUUGCUCUUGUAUUGCUUGACAUGCUUGACAAGGCAAAAGAGGGUGGUUCAAGAAAUUAUGGUGUUGGGUGUAGCCUACCUUCUUCGCAAUCGACAACAGCGCCUAGGAAGAGUGAUGUUAUUGAUGGUGAACGUAAAACCUGUGAUAGUAAUCAGGUAACAGAAACAAAGGACCAAGAGAUGAUACAAGGAGAUGAGAUUAAUGAGGAGAGCAGUAGGAAGAGAAGUCUGUGUGGCAAUGAGCCAGAAAACUGUGACACCUUGUAGCAAAAACUAACAAAAUCAAAAUAGUACGUGGUUGUGAACUCGUGAUUAUAUGUAGUGGACAGAUGGAUAUUUAUUUUUGGUUGCUGCACUAGUUAAGAGUGUAUUACACAAUUUCUUACACCAGAAGCACAACUAGCUAGCUCACUAUAAUCAUUCAAUACUGAACAAAGGAAACAAGAAUAGGUUUGUUUUGCACAGUGAAGUACAUAACUUGAUAAUAGAAAGUUAUAUACAAAUGAAUGAGAAAAUGUCGUUUGAACAGUCUCAAAGUAAAUUUCUGUCAAAUUAACAAAGCCCCUAAUGUACUACUGGAGUCUAAUCUGAGCAACUGUUAGAGUACGUAGGACUAAAUUAGGAGUAUAAAAGGUUGAAGAACACAACUUUCGCGAUGCUCAUCCACCAUGGAUUCGAGCAAAUUAAAGCAACCCUUCCAGCCAGAAAUCACCUUCUCAACGCAUGAAGGUGAUGGUUUUGAAUGCUCAAAUGUUUGUGUGCAACUACAAUGCGGACCAAGAGAGUUUUCCUUUUUUUCUAACCCUAACAUUGCGUCUCUUGCAUGUGUGUUUCUAUAUACAAUCGAGUUCUGUUUGAUCAGUUCUGCACAUGAGAACAGCGGGUUAGAUUCAUUUGAUUGUUAGUCUGAUGAUCACAGCAGCCGGAGAUCGAAAGGGGUUAUUCAAGUCUAGGAUCAAACAAGGAUUUGUAAAUUUCUAGCCAAAUCAGUUCGAAGAAACACAUAGCCCAUCUGAACUUUUUUCUUUUUGUUUUUGUUUGAAAUUUUGAUUAACUACUAGAAUCGAAAAGCAUGAACUGGAGUGUGACGAGAAUCGAGAUGAUGAGAAACAGCAGCCGUUGACGGCCAGAGUCUGGUUCAUCGAUUGCCGCCGGCGAGAGACUCGUCUAGGUCGAACUGACAGUUUUAGUUUUAAAGGUGGACCCCCUCAGCCCGCUUACGCCUACGCCACGUGUAACCGCCUAGACACACCUCAUGUCCACCUGACCCACAGAAGUUAACUUUUGUUUUCCUUUUUUUAUUUUUUUCGUUUUUAAAUGGUGGACCCCCUCAGCCUGUCGGACCCAUGACACGUGGAACCGCCUAGACACGUCCUUUGCCCGCCUAGCCCACAACAGUUUAAUUUUUGUUUUCCGUUUUUUAUUUUUACUUUUCACCCAUAUUUGUCCUUUUUUUAAAUGGUGGAUCCCCUAGUCCGCAGGCCCAGCCCACAUUGAUUCCGCCUAGGCCCAGCUCGUGUCCGCCUAGCCCGCAAGAUUUGUUUUUAUUUACAAUUUUUUCUUUUUUACAGAAAAGAAAAAGAAAAAGAAAAAGAAAGAAGCUUGGUCCGAUGGUCUCUGCUUGACGACGCCUUGACAGCCCUGGCGGCCUCUGUUCUGUUGCAACCCAUCACCACCAUUCCGCCACCGUCCACAAUGAACCAAACUCUGGCCUCACUCUCUAAAACCCAGAACAUAAUUGUCCUCGUUCAGGUUGACCAAGCUGCUGAUCGAGUAUGAAAGAUGGAAAAGCCAACGGGGAAGACGAGCUCAAACUAUGUGUUGCAAACACGUUGAAGUUAGCCGGGAAAAAAAAAAAAAAAAAAACAAGCACAAGCUCCGACCAAAAUAUGUAGUCCUAGAUUGGUCAUUCCGGGACGUAGAAAACAACGAUAAGCCAAGCAUAAAGAGUCCAGGACUGCUUAUGGAAUUAGUCCUGACUAUAACAGUUUUGCGUACCAAACGUGCUGUAAUAGUAUAGCGAACCUUGUAAUUGUUUCACCACGUGGCGCACUAAUAUCUUGGCCUGAACUAGAACCACAAGUUAUGGCCACUGGUGCCCACAUCCUAUCUCUCCAUCUACAACUUAUGGUUUUUCAGUCAUUCUUGAAUGAAACAACACCAAAAUGUAAAUAUGGCCCAUCUGCUAGCAAGCUAUCCCAACAUAUCAGAACUCUCCUAUGGAUUGACUACAGUUUCUAGACCAGCUAGGAGGACUAGAUUGAUCACAAAUUGUGUAGUGCAUUGCUCCUCCAGUAGUAGUAGCAGUGGUAGCUCAUCAACUGAGGAAGUGGGUUUUGUAGGGAGUGGAAAGUUUGGUAUUGAUAGUACGGGAGAGUUCAAGUACUUGGUGAGUGAAUAUGGUUGGAAGGUCAGGAGUUUGUUUAGAAAUGGAGAUGAGGUAAGGCAGGCAGCUCAAGUUCAAGCUGAAGCAUUUCAUGAACCUGUGUUUCUCUUCAAUGAUUUCUUCUUCCAGUUCUUCCAGGUUUGCUUUGUUAAUUAAUAUCAUUUGGGAUUAUGUUCUUGUUCUUCAUUUUCAGUCAUGAUUUUGUUUAAAAUGAUUGCUGCAGGCUGAAGUGUUAUCCGGGCUUGUAUAUAAACUUCGGAGCUCUCCCCCAAAUAGGUAAAGCACUAAUUUUGGAGAUUGAAAUAUGGGAUCUUGACUUUUUAUAAAUGAAAGUUUGUUCAUUUUGCAUAACAGUUGGGAUCUUGAGCUUACUGCUUACACUGAAAAAUUGUGAUCCUUCAUUUAGUGCAGCAUUUUGAUAUGAUCAACAUAAUGUAACAGGUAUGCCUGUUUGGUAGCAGAGCCUACACUCAUCGACACUUCAGAGUCGCAAGAGCUUGUGGGCGUCGUUGAUCUCACAGCAUCAAGAGACCAGAAUGUACUAGAGCAUCUCCCACCUGAUGCAGAUGAGUAUCUUUAUGUGUCCGGCAUAGCUGUUCUCAAGAGUUUCAGGUUCUAACUGUCCCCAAACACUUGGUUAUGUUCCUCUUGUUUAAAGUUAAGAUAUUUUGACUAGAGGGCAAUGGUUUCUUUCACAGGAGGAAGAAAGUAGCCACUGCUUUACUAAAAGCUUGUGACAUGCUCUCAGCUGAGUGGGGAUUUCAGUAUCUUGCUCUCCGAGCUUAUGAAGACGAUUUUGGUGCCCGGGAGUUGUAUGCAAAUGCCGGUUACCGGGUUGUCUCUGGUGAUCCGCCGUGGAUGAGUACUUGGAUUGGAAGAAAACGCCGUGUUCUUCUGAUCAAACAGAUUCCGACUCGAUAGUUGUGCUUCAAGUUGUUUCAUGCACAUAUUGAGUUCAUUUUCCUCUUUAGGAGGGUUCUGAAGUUUUAUGAUUACCAACUGGCCUAUUUGAGCAACUUCUUCAUUCCUAGUGGGAUAACUGUCUCUCUUAGAAUAGCAAAACCAAUGGUACAAUUCCAAUGAAAACGAACAUGGUUACUUCAUAGAAAGGCAAAUAUACACAACAGCCCACAACCAAAAACUAUAGCUUUUAUUAAGCUUAGAAGUUUGUCCACCCAAAAAUAUAUAAACAGAAGCAAAACAGUACUCUACUUUCUUUUCUUCUUUUUUUUCUUCUUUUCCUAGGAAAAAAAUACAAAUUCGGUAUAUGAACUGUGAGAUCCCGCAGGGUAGGGGAAUGGGUUAGUGUUUGUUCUUUGCGGUGAAACAAUGGCUGUGCAAGUGCAGCAAAAGUGCACACAUAUCAUUUUCGUCCUUCCUACUAAUUCAUGAAUUUCCGGCAGUUGGGAGCUUUACAUAGACAAGGAACUUUGAAUUCAUCAGGCUCAUUUGGAUCAAACAAGUAAUCAUACCUGCCACAACACCAACAAAUACAUUACAAGCAGCUCUCAGAGAAAGAAUGAUGGCGUAAGAAUAGUGAGGGAGAGAGGAGAGAUGUAUACGUUAGCUCAUCAUCAGCAGACACAUUAGUCUUUGCAAUAAGUACAAUCCGACUUUCCUCAUCACCAACACUCAUGAUCCUCGCAUAACAAUUGGGCAUGCACUAUACACAGAACAGUGAGUGUGAGAUCAUAACUGGAAACAACAGGCAAAAAGGGCUUCCUUCUUCAAAAUGACUUACCGAAUGAUUGAUCAGCCGUGCUAUAUUUCCUUUAUCGGUGGCAUCUACUACCACUUCUUCGCUAAUCUUAAAGAGCUGGAGACAAGGGUAAAUAUAAGCCUUCAAAAACAAAACUAAACCAACAUAACUAGAAAUAAUCAUAACGAAAAUAAUUUGAACCACUAGCAAAGAAGGUACUCACGUAGCAAUCUUUGCCUUCGGAUCUAUAGCGCGCCUCCCUCAAAUCUGCUACACUGCCCCUCACCUGUUCCCCACGGUAUUCAAGAACCUGAAAGAGAGACAUGCUUCUUAGUCCAUUGUGUUUUCAAAUGAAUUUAACACGAUCGGCAUCUGUUGCAGACAUAAUGGAAGUUGAUACACUUGACCAAUGUUGCUACAUACCAUUUCUCCUUCCUGAAUGUUUCUGCGUGCAAAGAGACCCCAUCCAUGUAUCCCGGAUCUACCAAAGCAAACACGAUCAUUUUCGGUUCUCUGCAGUCAUACAUACAUCCAAAAUAGUCACAAAAAGAAACAGGGAAGGAAAAAAGGGAUAAGGAAAGCCAAGAAUAUUGAAUGGAUAACAAGGAAAUACUAGCCUGUAAAUGGUAAAGCCGUUCUCUAAAAGAUGAAAAAGUUAGAGGUUCCUCUACUACCUGUUAAAGAAGAAAACAUGUCAUCUAGAGUUAGACAUCCUCCAUGAAAUGAAUGAAAACAAACAUAUAUACCAUCCAAUACAGAAAAGGGAAAUAAAUUACUCUGAAUUUGUUCAAACUUCGAAUUGCUUCCAAGGGAUGAUGGGAAUGUCCCAUCACUUGGUGAGCAACAGCUUCUUCUUCUGUUCUCUAGCCAUCAGAAAAAGUAACAGUGAGAAAAGAUAGCUAAUAUCUAUUAAAUUUGAAUAGUCUGCACACUGAUCCACCCCAUUAUGUCAUCCAUUUGUCAUCCCGAUCGAUAUUAUAUUCCAUAAUAAGUUUAUAAAAUUCAACACUUCCCCAACACCUGAAAAUUCUUCAAGCCAUAAGCUGGCUGAAAUUUCAAUUUCAAGUUUUACCCAAUUUUAUAUAAGCAAUAUCAAUGUACGUGCAUAGUGACAGUAUCAUAAUUCGGGAAGGCAAAGAUCAUAGUAGAAUACCUUUCUACUAUCUUUCAAUCUUUUAAAUAUUCGGCACCUUGCAGAACAUAAUGGCUCAGGUUCAGGUUCAGUGGUUUCAACAGUUGGAACCUCUUCCAACUUUAUUCUAUUAGAUGAAAUUAGCCUUGAACCAGGCUUCUUCUUAGUUUGGAGAAGGCUUUUGGCUGAAAACACUCCUAGAGGAGUCUGUAUAAUUAAGACCGUAUCUGGAUUUGGAGCCCUGCAACAAACAAACUAUAGCUUGUGAAGGACAAAAUGAGGAAUAAAAUGACAAGAAUUCAGAGGCAUUGAUAAUAACAAUAAUAAUAAAUAAAUAAAUCUGAGAGAAAAGAGGGUCAAGGGAAUGACUAUCCAUACCUGUGAUAAGCGCAGUAGGAAACCAUUUUCGUAAUCUGUUUCCCAUUUUUCUCUAGAGAGUGCAACUGCAUAGAAAGAAUGCAGUUAUUAGCAAUAUUGUAAACGAGGAUAAGGAACAAGCCAACUAAAAGUAAAGAUGCAACAACUUUAGAAACCAGAACAAACUGACAAUAUAUGAACUUAGUAAGAAACAUUCUUCCUCAUGCAUCAAAAGUACAGAGCAAUAACGAAAACACAAAAAACAAUAAGAAUCUAACCUCCAUGCGGUACCCUGCUCUGGAUGCACACAUGGCAUGGUAAUAAGUGGAGCACCUGCUACAUUGCGUGCAUGAACCAUGGAUUUGCUUACAGAUAACACAAAUCUGAAACAAAGGUGGCAAAAGAAAGCCGUUGAUUAGUAUUCAACUAAGAUAACAAUGAAAAUGACAAAGAACAAUCAAGAUAAAUGGCUGCAUUCUGGAUCAUUUAUAGACCUAUUAACCCAAAACACAUCUACUCUUUUAGUUCAAUGUAUAUUGCCUAGGUUACUAUCCAUCAGUGUGGUGCAAAAUUGUUUUCUUUUACUGAAAAAUUUACUUCGCAUGUAAAGGAUUAGUGUCAUGUUGUUACAGUAUCAUAUUCAUGCGCUCAAAAGUCAAUUUCAAUGUAUUUAUAGUGACAUAUAUCAUAAAAGAUGUAUACAAGAACAAAUGAUCCACCUUAACAAAAGAAUUAGAUGGAAUACUCAAGAUCCCAAGAGCAGGCUCCAUCUUCUCAUCACUUGCGAAUGACACUUCAGGUCUAAACCAAGCGCAAGUAAUAUGAACCCACAAUGUCUCGAUAUCCGUUGGCUUUAAAGCACCUCCUGUGGGCCAACAGCAUGAAGCAAACCAGAUCAGAAAAUGACAUCACUAUAGCAAACUAAAACUUCAUAAACAUAGAACUCAACAAAUUCACUCUGGGAAGAAAAAAAAUUGCCUUUAACAGGACAGAGGCAACAUUCUCGCUUGAAUUCUGGUUUCUCACAUGCUUUGCACACCCAUGAAGUGAAAUCUCGGACAUGUCUUGCUCCAUAGCAUUCUUGAUGAACGGCUAUUUGACAUCUGAUUGAAAUACAAAGCAUUAAAUAUUUGCCUUUGUAACAGUUGCUUGUCAGCCAUCAUGAUAUAAUGAACAUCACCAUGUUGUCAAUACCUGUUGCAUAUGAUGAUUUUGUUGUAGUCCCAAUCUUCAACCCAUCUACAUACAGCACAUCGUUCUGUUGUCCACUUCGCAUAAACCGGUUCAUACUUUUCUGUCAUAGCAACCAGGGAAAUGCAAUUAGUUUACAUCUCCCCACCUGCUUAUUGAAAAGUACAUUCAUAUGCCCACAAGUGCAAAAGAAAAAUACCUUGCAAAAAAGUAAGCAGCUUCUGCUUCCGUUCUUUUAUAGAAGGUCGUUUAGGAGGUUUAACAGACACAAGAGCAUUUUCAUGAAACUCUGCUAGCUGAAGCAUCUGCAAAGUCAAUUAAGAACAUUUGAUGUCCGUGAGAGACCAUCGGCAUACUACUAGACAAGUUAAAAUAAAAAAAUUAUAUAUAUCAUAUAUAUCUGAAAGUAUAGUACGGACCCAUUGUUCCAGUGCCAGUAAGGAGCCUUUAACUCUGACACUGGUCCUCCAAUUUCUGGACUUGGAACCUGUGUGUCGCUCCCAUUCACUAAGUGCUUGCUUUUCUGUCCCGCAGUACCCACACUUGCACACAACACUGACACAUAAGAGAAAAUGGAUAUGAACGAAUUACUUCCAAAAUCUUAUGUCACAGUGAUCGGUAAAUGAUCUGCCUCAUAAGGUGAGAAAAGACAAGAAAAGAAUAAACAUUAUGAAAACACAAGACUAACAACAACAUAACUUUUCAAGAUAGAGUUAAAAACCAAAGGAGAAGCCAAUCUUAUGCUUACGAGUGAAGACUUGGAAAAUAAAUGCCUUCCACACCGUUACAGAGAACAGUAACCUUGUUAGGCAGCACCAGUUGUGCCUCAUUUUUAUUAGAUCUGCACCAGAUAUUCAUAAUCGUCAGGGACUAGGGAUGAUAAAUUAAUUCAUAAAAUAACUAACAACAGAACAUUGCUAUGAACGAAUUACAUUAACACAAUUCAUAGACUCAUAGACUUACUUGACUUUUGGUUGCUCCUUUUCAGAAUCUGACAAUUCGAAGUUAAACUUUACUUUGCAAGGAGGACAGAAAUAAUCAGUGAUGCCCCCCAAAUUCUGCAAAAAAGAAAUAACAAAGUCAGCGAAAUCUAAAAUCUCUUCAUAUCAUUAUGCAAACUGAUUGAAAAAAAUAAAUAAAAGAAAAUAUGAUAUUAGGUAUGGUGUAUGGACCUUAAAAUAAUUGGUGUUAAUUCUAUCACAUUCUGCAUGCACCCAUACUCGGCAACCAUCACACCGGACCUGCUCCGAAGUAAAGUUCAACAGAAUUAAUAAGAAACACCAGUUCUAACACAUAGUAUAAUAUUCACCCACCCUAUCAUUAGUUAAAGGUUACUCACCCAACUUCCACUUUCAGAAUGAUUCCACUUCUUGCAUAUGCCACAAAUAUGUUUCGGUUUUGUUAACUGCCAAAAAGAAAAAGGUCAUGAUAUAUGAACAAUUUACAAGCCAGAAUGCAGGAGACUUAAAAAACAUAAAAAAAUAAAAAUAAAUCAAAACUAACAUAAGAAUACCCAAAAUAGGCAGGUUGUUAAAAGCUACCUUUGCACAUGAUUUACAAAGGAAAUGACCUCCAGAAGUUGGAACCUUCAGUUUCUUUGGCAGUUUGAGGUCCGAGCCGCAGCCUUCGCAGGCUCUUGUAUAUUUAUUCUUCCUAUAGAUGUCCUGCUUGGAGAUAAAUAAAAAAUUCAAUGACAAUUGGCCUUCUAAGGUGUAGAUAUAACUUUUAUGAUUAUAUUACAGAGAAAACCAAUGUAGUUUGCAUGUCUCAUUUUUGAAUUCCUUAGUAAAAGGAACGGUUCUGCUACAUUCUCAAUAACAAAGCAAAGAGUAGGCAAAGGUCCAUUAAACCCAGUUCUGCAAUUCAUUUCAAUCAUAUUUUCGAGCAUGUUUGAGCAAUUCUGCAGUCAUUACUAUGUUUUAGUAAUUACACAACACUAAGACGGAGAUAAAAAAACGUACUCUUUGAAAAAAAGUGAUCUUAGGAGAACUUGCCUGGUCAACAAACUGAUAGUCCAGAUCAUGAUUGGAACCAGUAGCCUCUUGAACUCCUCUAGGUAGAGAUUCAUCAUACACUGGGUUCCCAGCUGCCAUGUUUAUAUCUGCUAACAACUUCUCUGUAAAUCCUUGUUCCACCAAAAAUGCCUCCUCAGUUGCCAUCUGGAAAUCACAAGGCUUGCAGUUUCCUAGUUCAGACUGCUCUUGAAACCUAUAUCAUGCAAAAAUACUACUUAACCACAACGGGAUUACUGAAUUGCACUUUAAAUGCUUAUUCAAACCGCAACAACCACAAACCUGCCUAUAUAAUCCAUAAACGGAAAAAGCGAUCCCCUUUUAACCCAGGCAUAAUCCUGCUCAAGAUCACAUAAACCACCAUAAUAUUAAAUAACCACACUCUCCUAAACAUUAAAUAACACCAAACCAUAAAUAGUAAACUCCAUAUAGAGAAAUAAUCCAUACCCUUUGGUUCUCAUUCCCAGAGUACCCGAAAAACAUGACACAGGCUGCAUCAGGUAUGCAAGCCCUCAGAACCAACUCCGGCGCUUGCGUCAUUGGAUCAAUAACAAUGGCAGGCCAGAAGGGCUCCUUCUUCCCCGGCUUUGCCCACACUAUAUCACCGGAAUAAAAGUCUUCUGGUCCAUACAACCCGUCUUUCCUCUGCUUCGAAAUCCUCACUGCCUCCUCUACAUCAUCUUCAUGUUCAUCGACAAUCUCCACAACCGAACACCUGCCAUUUCCAACCAAAUGCUCAUGCACUGAAGUGAGUGUACUACGCGAGCCGGAGUUAUACUUCCUCAUGUUAUAACUCUUAUACGGCAUAUACCCUUCUUCCUCUUCUUCCUCUUCUUCCACUUCUUCUUCUUCUUCUUCUUCUUCCUCCUCCUCCUCCUCCUCCUCUUCUUCUUCAUCUUCACACAAACCCGAAUACUUCUUUGAACCAUACCCAAUCCUCUCAGCAUUACUCCUUACCUUCUUCCCAUUCUUCUGGGGCUUCAAGCUCGGCUUCUCAUCUUCCACAUUAUCACGCACAUUACUCUUGCUCUCUUUCUUCCAAUUCUCAAUAACCGAGUCAUUAAACCUCGACGGCAGUACCUGAACUCGUCCCCUCGAAGUCCUCACCAGCGGCGGCCUCGACACCUCCGCCGCCUUGGCUUUUGCAGACUUACCAGCCUUCGAUUUCGACUCCACCACCGCCUCCUCCUCCUCCUCCUCCGGAGGCGGCGGCGAGCACGACACUUCCGUGCACCACGAAAACCCACCCUUCUCCGCCCCAAGCAAGCCCCGAAAACUCACCGGAAUAAUCCCGGCGGCGACCUCACCGAGCAAAUUGAGCGGGUAAUACCCGUUGGUCUUCCUCUUCUUCCUCCCCGAGCUCUCUUCCUCCUCGGAAUCGCCCAAUUUGCACCGCUUCAGACUCGGCAUUUGCGAUUUCAGAUUCUUCUUGAUUAUCAUCCUCCUCGAAAACAAAAAACCUAGAUUAUCACAUCCGCAUAAUACCCACUCAACCUCCUCCUUCGAGAAAUUAACCUUAAAAAACCCAACCUCGGCUGUAAACCCUAAUCCCCAAAUUGGAUUGCCGAAAACAGAGCCAAUUCAAUUCACCAAACUCCGUCCUCCCCGGAAUUUCUCUCCCGCAAAAUUGACUCAACGGAACAAAAAGGGAGUGAUUGGAAGAUACAAAUCGACACAACAGGGAAAUAGGGAUCUAUCUAUUUCGGGAAGCUUCCAACUGCUGCAGAGAGAAUGAGAGAGAAAUGGAAUACAAAAGAUUACAAUGCGAAUUGCAAUGCAAAUUGUGUAGAAAGCCCAGAGAGACAGAGAGAAAGAAAAGAUAAUACUCGAGGAAAAUUGCGAGUCUUUCUUCGAUAUUGUCUCUCUGUUUUUUUCGUCUUUUUAUUUUAGAGAGAGAGAGUGAGGAGAGAGAGAGAGAGAAGGGUCGGCGUUAUCUUGCAAAAGUGUGUGUUUUUAGAGAGAGAGAAGAGUGAGGUGAGAUGUGUGUGAGUUACUAACGUGCGCCUUACGUGUUUAGAGCACAAUUCUUCAGAGCAAUGGUGGUCAUGGCCAAUCUUUGGGUUUGUUUUUUUGAAUUUAUACAAUUUUCGUGUAGUUACUUAUUUUCGAUGGCCAUUUUGGGUUUGCCAUGGUUGUUGUAGCAGAGUUUGUUCCACGAAAGUUGGAAACUUUGAGCUACUACAAUGCCAGUGUCCGUUUUCGGUUUCGAAAUCCGAUUUGGGUCGUGGGAUUCGAUAAAGGGUUUAAAAUUCGUGCACGUAGAAAUGAUUUUGGUAACCAAAGUUUGGUCGAUUUGUAAUGGGAAAUGAUCGUUUUUGAAAGCUGCAAGUUCUUGGCUGAAGGUAGCGGCAGUUUGAUAUAUUGAGACUGAAAUUGUUUCACAAUUUUUUUCAUUUUUUUGGGUUGGAGAAGUAUGAGCAAGUUGAAAGAUGAAAAUUUUAAUGGGUUUGAUUCAUGGACUGUUGUAGAUAAAUUUUCUGUAAAUUUGGUGGUCGUCGGAGAUAUAGGGGCGGCAGAAUUUCGAAAAUUCUUCAACUUUAUGAUUUUAUUUUUUUCUUUUUGUUUUCCAUUUCGUUAUGUUUUCUACAUAGUCAUGAGUCAUGACUGAUGAAUCAAGAUUAAGAAGGAUAGGGUUUUGAGGUACGAAAUCUGAGAAUCUUCACGGGAGUGAAAAGCACGAAAUUUUCCCACCAAUUAUUUUGGGUACAUCUUUGAAGUUGGGGUUGCUCUGUUAACAGGAGAGAAUACUGUUACCGUUUAUAUCUGUCUUAAUCAUGUAAACUAUUUCGUUCUAAUUUGCUUUUGGUUGUUGGACCAACUAAUCUAUGAUCUAAUCUAGUUGACUAAAACAAUAUGGAAGAUUUAGUGAUGCUCUGUGUUUGUGAGCAUGACGAUCUCACAUCUCUUCGAUUUUCAUGGUUUUUGUCAAAAGGGUUGGUUUGGUGCUCUGUUUCUGAUAUUGAAGAAGGGGCAUGGCCUUGACCUCUAGUUUGAAGUAUUGGUGGGUGUUAGAGGUCGGUAAGUGGGUUUAGAAAAAUGAACAGAGUCCGGCGUCUUUGGAUUUUGGUCGUGUAGACAAGAAGUAGUGCAAUUUUUUAUUUAGAGAAAGCAAAAGCUAUAUAAUGAUGAAUCACGGCAGACCUUAAUUUGGAAUAGCAAGUUGGAUCAUGAGGAAGAGUUGUGUCUGAUACUCCUAUUCUUCUGUUUAUAAUAUGUUGAAGCUUUAGAAGAAGAGUUGAAACUUGGAAAGGUCAACCGGUAGAUGUAGCAGAAGAAAAUGAAGAAUCAAAUACAAAGUUGUAAUCUGGGUCAGCUUGAGCUAUGCAUGAGUGUACACACACUGUAUAUAGGUGGCUGACUGGGCACGGUGUUAUUAAUAAGAGAAAGAUGGUGGUGCUGAGCUUCUUCCAAAAAUGUUGGAAUUCUGUUAAGUUUCCCUUUUUGGUAAUGUUGGUUGUACUAGAGUUUGGCACUACCCAAGGUUGGUUUGGCUUAUGUUAGUCUUAGCUCGUGCCCAUGUUUUGCUCGCAGUGCCCAUGUUUUGCUCGCACUUAUUGUCUCUGAGGAGCUUACAUGCAUUUGGGUCUGGAAGGAGCUGCUUUUUCAGAACAAAUGAGCUUUCUGAUAGAAGAGAGACAGAGAAGAAGAGGGAGAUCGAUCAGAGAAACGUACUAUGCUACUUAGAAGAUGGUGUUUAGGGAAUGAUGAUAUGGGACCCAAAAUCUCAGAGCUAGUCUUUAAGUUUCUGAGAGCACAAAAUGAGAGGAGGAGCAAGCUUUCCAUUUCCCUUGGGAUUUGGUGCAUUCUUUGUGGUUUCUGAGCAAAAGGCUUGCAAUCUGGCACUCGCAGAAUGCAAACAGAAACAGAUUGUACUUUGUUGCAUGUAUGGAAAUCUUUACAACAAAACAAUAUCUGCAUAAGUUUGGAGCAUGUGAAAAAGAGAAGGUGGUUCAAAAAUUCAGAAAAGAAAAUAAGAACAACCUGUGAUCUGAAACUUCAGACUUCAGAGCAACAUUUUGCACAUCCUCCGGCGUCAGGCAAAACUACCGGCAGGUCCAAAACAACAAAAACGGCCCACUUUAUGGGUAACCGGCUAUCCGCAUAUGGCCCAAAGACCUGGUUAUCCCAAACUGAUUUCUACUACCAAAAAAACAAAAAACAAGUAGUUGCACUUGAUCAGUCUGUGUGCUAAAAUCUUGUGUUCAUAGUUGAACUGCAGAGCUUCCAUUAUACCAAGUCUUAGCAGAUAUAUGUUACUCCUUUGUACCAUACUGACCGAGUUGUAUGCUCAGGGAAGUAAAAGUAGUAACCUUCCUUUUAAGUUUUGUCUUUCAAUUUCAGCGAAAACCAGAUGUCAUAAUAACAUCAUUCAAAAGAGGUUAAAACUUAAAACAACCCUUGAAAUAAACACAUCUCUACAGACUCUACUUCAAGAAAGCAAUUCAUGGAUACACAGUGAGAAACCAUAAGAUUUUCCUUCAUACCAUAAUAUGAACAAGUACAACUAGUUUUUGCUUCCCCAGUUUAUUUAACAUACCCUAUUUACAUCCGAAACUGGCGAUGCAGGGUCUAGAGUAGAGAGAAGAAGGUUAUUACAGCGAGAAAAGGAUGAAAUAUGAAGCAAGAUUUUGGUGGGGGGAGGAGGGGGCUGGUUUAUUGAGCGCCUAAACUGAGUCCAAGUCUACUACAUCAUGCCAGGCUUAAUACCACUACUGAUCUCUUCCAUAUUACAUCAUCGGAACCUAGCAACUACUUCAUUCCUACAUUCUUAGUAAUGCAUAAUAAGUCAUCAGUCAUUGCCUCUUGGCAUAAGUGGUUUCUUCAGUCUUUGCAAACCUUCCACGGAUCCUCGGCUGGUUGUCUGCAAGAGCCUUCCUGCAGGCAUACUGAAAGAAAAGCAUUUCAUUAGUUUCUAACCUUCAAAACAGGAUCAGCUUAAGCCCAAGUGGUGAAAACAGUAGUUCAAGGAAAGCUAGUAGAUCUGAAACUUAAGAAUGCUGUUCCACCAAUUCGAGCAUCAAAAGUCAUGCAUAUUCUGACAGACAUGAAUCUCGGCUUUUGAAAUGGUCCCCCCAUGUAACUCUGGGAUGGCAGCCGCAGUUGGUCAUGGUUACAGCAGCAAGCAUAUUGCAGCAUUAAGAAUUUAAGCCACUAUUGGCAAAGCAUCCAUGUAUAUUUAUAGAUCAAAAGCCCCAGGGAAGUAUACAAAGAUUAAUAUACUUAAUCCUCACAAAGAACCCAACGAAUAUCCGAUGAAAAGACAUGUAACAUAACAAACCGAUAAUGCUUGAUUACUAUGCCGGCCAUCAAAUAUUAUAAUAGUAGUGUGAACAAUCUGUAUAAAGCAUGCAUAAGACAAAUGCCGUUUUUGUUUGUGUAUGGCUAUGCAGUCCUGAAUCUUGACUAUAUCUUGAGGUGAUUAGUUUCUGUAUAACGUAUUUAUUAAAUAUAAUAUAAGAGAAGCACUACAGAUCAGGAUUUACCUUGAUUUUCCUUCCAAAGUUCCUCUUUGUCUUCUUGUUCCUGUAUCUUGAAAGCUUUUCCUUGCGUUCCUCAGUGGUGCAGUUGGUGAUGAUAAUUGACCGCUCAAGAGGAGGAUGGACGAGGCUUAUGUUACCGCUACUAAGAGUCUGUCAUAAAAACUCAGUAUCAAUGACCCAGCCCCAUCCUGUGAAAAUGGCCAGACAUGUCUAAACAUUUCUCAGACUUUGGUACAAAGUCAAAAUUGCGCAGAGCUUGAUUGCAAAUAAAUGAUAUGAUCGAUGCAUAUAUAGGAAGUGCUCAGAGAUCCUAUCUCUGAAAUGAUUCCCUAAUUUCUAGACAUCAGUUGCACAUGCAUUAAUCUACAGGUGGUCCACUGGGAGGAAGGGGUUUUCAAUAGACUGAAUAGGCAGUCUAAAUGCUAUAUAACAAGGAUUUAGUUAUAUUUUGGCAAGAGAUUCACAGAUUUCAAAUGGUCAUUAAGAUACCGGUGUCUCCUUUAAUCAUAUUAUGCCUUUUCAUUAAUUUAUAACCUCUUCUAUACCCAAUCUCUGUGUUGUAGAUAAGUGCUGUCUUGACUUUGUAUGAAGUGAUAUAUUUUGAAUCUCCUAAUUAUGAAAAGAAAAUAGCAACUAAACUAACUAUAUCUGACCUUAAUAUCUCCUUCACUAAAUGCCCUCCGAAUCCUAUACGCAGCAGCAAGAUCCAUUCCAGGUAAAUCCAUAAAAUUAGGCUUCGUUGAAGCUCCUUGCAUCCACUCCAUUGAGCUUAGACAACCUGAGCUGCCACUUUUCUGGAAUUGUAUGUCACGAAGUGGUUUGUCUUCUUGAACUUGAUUUCCAUCUGUUCCCAAAUCAGGAAUUUUGAUAUCAAGAACCUCAGAAAGUGGUGUUUCUGUUGGAUCCUUUUCUAGGAUAUCCUUGUCAUAGAAAACAUCAUCCAAUAGCUGUUCACUUUGAAGUGAUUCAAUGUCUGCAGCCUUGAGUCCUUGAGAGGAGAUGACAUCUUCCCCACAAGACAUCAUUGAUGUGGCUGUCAUGAUAUCAAGGCCAAGAACUGGUUCUUCAAUGAUAGGCUCCGGAGCUUUAAAAAGAUCCCAAUCCUCUCCCAGGUCGUACUCUGAUAUCAUGGAGGCCUCAACAAGGUUAUUCUGCCAUAGACAAAGUACAAUCAAAAUUAGAAAACCUAUACCACGAUUCACCGGAACCUUCAGGAGAUGAUAUAAGUCUCAUUCAGGAGAUGUAAAGUCAAUCAGUGUUCAUAAAGUUUAACUUUCAUUCCUAUUAGACAAAUGGUAGUACCUAGAUGUGAACUAGCAACUGCUGUUGGAAGUAUUAGCAUUCACUAAAAGGCUACAAGAACAAACAGAAAGCAUACGACUUUGAAAUUUGAAGGUCAUAUAUACGAUCCUUACUAAUGCAGAUUGAGUUGAGGACUAACAUAUUGGUCGGCCAUCUAGUAAAAACAUUGCAGAUAGCAGUGCAUAAAAUUCAGAUGAACAAGUGGACAAGUGAUACAGUACUAGGCCUUAAUGAAAUUGCUAAUGCCAAAGAUAUGAUAUGAAUUCCUCUCCAAAAGUGCAGUUUUAACAUCAAAAGUAAAAUCAAUGAGGACCAAGAAGAUGAACACUUUUUACCUUUCCUCUACCCUUUUCUCACUCAAAAGCAUAAAACAACUUGCAUCUUUUCCUCGUUAGCAUUAGUGUGAAUAUGGUGACAAAGCUAAAUUUCCAACUACAAAACUAGACACUAUACCAGAGAAAAAACAGAGAAAUUGUAGAACACGGAAGUAUGAAAACGUCUCCAACUAAACAACUUCCCCUUUUAUCCUUUUCCAGAUCCAGCUCAUAAAGCUAGCUCCAGCUGUUUACCAUGCAUGCCCUGAGCAAAUAAAGCCAACAAAAAGAUCGAAAUUUCUUUUCUUUUUCCUUUUCGAUUUUGAAGAAACCCAGAUACUGUAAAAUUAAAACACUUUUACAGUGUUUUGGAUUCAGAAAAAUGGAGAGAAUCCCUUCCUCCAUGGACUACAGCUGGAGAGAAACAUAGAUAAGAUAAAUUCUCUCCAGAAGAAUAAAUAUUUGGAAACAAAAAUAAGACUUCAGUGUUCUUCAAUUGUCAAACAUCUCAAAUUCACCAUCACUAUAGACUUUUUCACCGUUUCUUUUCCCUAACUCAAAUUCUCAAAAACAAGGCAACUACUUUCCCAAAAUUUUACAUUUUUUCAUUCUUUUUUCCAGCAACCAAACCAACAGCACAAGGAUUGUCAAAAGAUUAUGUUUUUGUAAAAAGAAAGACAAUGAAUAUAUGAAGAAUCCCAUUUUCUCAAGAAACAAACAGAGGCUUUCAGUGUUGUUUAUCAGAUUAUACACUUACACACCAAGACCAAAGUUCACAACUUUCUACUGAAUCAGUCCAAACCCAUCUCAGAAACAAUCAAAUCAAUGCAGAUCAAGCUAAAUCCACAAGAAAAUUGAAGGCAAAUAUCACAAAUUCAUGAAAAUUAACAACACAUGCGUUCAAAGAGAAAGAGGGUUACCAUUGAAACAUUGAACUUCUGGUUUCUACAGAACUCCUCCAACUGCUGAAAGUCUUGAGGGGUGUUCUGGAAAUAAGGGAACAAGAGCCCAGUCUCUGCAUACAUUCUCUAAAACCCACAAUCUUCUCUCUUUGAAAAGUCACAAGCUUUGAAACAGAGAAACCUGAUAAAAUAUCUCCUCCUUCCCAAAACCCAAGACAAAGCAAAAGGCAAGAGUAACAGAGACACACUGAAACUGAGUAGCCAAAUUGCAAGGGGUUGUUUUAGGUUUUUGUGACUUUGAGCUACUGGGAGAGAGAAUUUAUAUGAGUAAUAAUGAGUGGGAGUAGUAUUCAGAAAUAUUGGGUGUGAUGAUGAUAUCAUAUAAUGAGGACAAAGUAGGGAAAAAGACACAAUCAUUUUUCUAAUGUACUGUCCCCAUGUCAAUUAUCAUGCUCCCUUUUUUAUAUAUUACUUUAUCAUUUUUAUUGGUUUUUGGUUGUGAUUUGUGAAAUAUACUCAUUAUUGUAUUGCAAUUUGUAUAAGUGAGAUGAGUUGCAUCAGCUAAAAUAUGUGGACAUGUUUGUGGGCUGCACUGUGUCACUGGCCACUGUCACUGUGGUCAUCAAUCUACACUUUCAAGUUCAAUGCAUUUUGGAUUUUACUGUAAGAUAGUUUCCCAUCUUCUUGUUUAGGCUUGCAGCCUCUGUAACUUUUAAGGUUCACUGGGGGUCAGUUAGCUUAGAACAAAGUUAUCACAGUAAGGUAUGGGUGCUUGUACCCCAGCCAUUAGCUUCUAUAAUCAACAGUGAGUGCAAAGGGAAAAAUAUGGAUUCAGAGAUAUUUUCACCUUGAUCAACAAUCACAUGUUGGCCGACAGUACAGUUUCAACCUUUUGUUCACAUAUAUUGUACAGUCAAAUUCUAGGAAGUUCUUUUUCAUUUCUUGGCAAAUUUAUCAGUUUUUCACUAUAUAUAUGACAUAAAAAUCACAUUUGCUGUAUUUUGAAGAUUGAGCAUCCCAUCAAAUUAAUAAAUCACGUUUGAACCUGAUAUCUUAAAAUAAUGUCAUGGAAGAUGAUUCAAUGAGUAAUUAUAGUCGAAAGAUUUUCUCAAUAACAUUUAGUAUCUAUAUGAUGAGAAGUGUCGCAUAUCUGACUAGUUUUGCCUAUAAUAUUUGACAUUUGAGCUAGACGUGUUAGGACAUAAUAACCUCACAAUGCAUGGAAUAGUUUUUGUUACAAGACAACCUAUAAAUAUUGCUUGAGUUAUUAAUCAAGGGGGUGAUUCAUGGUGGCGUUGAAAGAUUAUGGAAGGAGACAAAGAACUCGUGUUUUAUAUAUGCAGACUGGAUAGGAACUAGAGUGGCAUAAGAAAAUGUAGAGGUCAUAAGCAAACCGUGUUAAUAGGUCUUAAUUUUGACCUUAGUAACUCUUUUGUUCUUCACUAAGAGAAUGUUACUUUCAAGCUUAGCUAGCAGGACGUUUCCAGAACGUUUCAAAAAUAAAAGUAUAAAACGUGACCUUUGAUAAUACUGAAAGCAGCAGUCUCCAAAUCCAAUGUUUGUUCUUCUUCUUCUUCUUCUUUUUCUCUUUGUUUCACUGGAAUACAUAUUUAGAUACCUGGAAAAUAAUAAUAAUAAUUAGCUGUAAAACUAAAAGUUAUAAGGAUAUAUAGAUUCUGUCCAGCAAUUUGAUCAAAAAUAUUCAAAUUCUCUUUUGAGAUGGUGACCUCUACUCGUCCACAUUGCAAUUUGGAAUUACUGGAGGAAAAAUAUGGUUAAAUGUCAACCCGGCCAACUUUAGUCCCUUUCUCAAACUCAAGCAUAUAAAUAGAAUCAGUCUUACAUAAAACGAAAUGCAUAAAUGAGAAAAAGAGUGACCAACUCAAAGUAAACCAUAAGAUAUACGUUCACUUUGAUUUUGUGGGCAAAAGGAAGCAAUCAGCACUACUGGUAACUUGUGAGAGUUCAUGCUAAUCUCAUCCUAAUUAUCUAUUUAGCUACAACUUUAUCAAAGUCGUGUGGCUUUUUAUUCUGAUACAAAAAAACUUUCAUUAGAAACAAACAGAAGAAAGAAAAUUGAAAAGGAAGAAUGAAUAACGCGUAGGUAUAAGAUUCUCAGCCGGACUGUAUGAAGUAACAGGUUUAAAUAUCAAGGAAGAAAGAGCGCUCAUCAUUCUUGAUGAUUUUGGGUUUGAUUAUGAUAAUAUAUAUUUAAGCCAAAUGGAAGCAAACAGCUAAGAAUUAUGACAUAAUGUUAGGUAAUAUAUAAACACAGAAUCAAGAGGAAAAGGAUGAGCAGAGAUCCGAGACCACAAUUAUAUAUAGCAGGAGAUGAUUGUUGUACGUACUACGUAGUUGUAUCUAACUGGACUUGAAGUAUAUAUACACAUUAGUUUUAUAAAAGGAAGAGUGAAAGCGAAACCUAAUCAAGUAAUCAUGAAAACAUGAAUCUUCGCUAUGGCUUGCACACGAAACUCCACUAAGAGGUUUCGUUUUCAGACGCAUAGUUUAAAUAUGAGCAAGUCAAAUAGCUUUCAUCGAGUUCGAAAAGAAAAUUCCAUGCCACAAAAAUGGAGUUUGGCUGUAAAGAAUAUAUAGCAAUUAAAAGUGAUCGAGCAGCAGCUAGAAAAAGGGGUUAAAAAAAGUUUGGAGCUUCAACCAAUCAAAGGGUCGCAAAGAAGAGUGGAGCAUAUGCGCUAACCCUUCUUUAUCGAGAAAUGAGGAGCAAGGAAUGUACACGGCAGCGAGUUCAUGAAAACCUUAAUAUUCCACAUUUGGAAUGAUAGAAAAAAGAAAAUGUAAAAGGGAGGCUUAGCUCUACAAAGAACCUAAACCAGACGAAUCAUUUCCUUCCAUUUGGUGCAUUCAGAUCGGCGCACUUGGCAGCAGAAAUUUUGGUGGUGAACUUUAGCAGACAAAGAAUGAAAUAAUGUCUUGUAGCUUUGCCAGUGAUUAUGGGAAAUGAUUGUAAAGCUGCACUUCAGCUAGAACAUUCAUAUUGGGGAUUGGGAAUGUGUAUCCCUUUUACACUUUCUUUUCUUUGGAUGAUUAGUGUGUCAAAUUAGGUAUGUGUUUCCAGGAUCAUGGUUUAUGAUGAGAAAGCUAGCUAGGGUUUGAUAAUGAACACAGAAUUAUGCAGCACUGGGUUGACCUGAGAGGAAUAUACUACUGAUAUGAUGAAGAGGAGGUGAACUGGACUUGGUCAUUUGCAGGAUUAAUUAGCAUCUUAUUAGUUAAUCACUUUUGAUCAUGACUUUGCUUUGUUUUGUUCCUUUCCUAAAUCUGUAUAUAUAUUAAGAGGUGCUCUUCGCAUCUAGUACUUUGGCCGGGGAGGUUGAGUGGGAUUAAAACAUAGCCGGGGUGGUAUUAUUACAAACUAGAACAGGUUAAAUGUGAAAGAGAUGGGGUUCUUGUUAUUACACAGCUAGCUAGCUGGUGAGGAUCGUCUAGUAGUGCUUUUUGUCCAAUUCUAAUUCCAGAAGAACGAAUUGCAAUUGGAAUUGCUUUGGUGGUUGAUCUAUCAAGGGGACGUCGUCUCACUUUAAGGCACUUUUUGGAUUCUUUUGGAUGUAAAACCUGAAGUGAUGUUUCUGUUUUUGUAUGACUAUAUGCAGUAUGCAUGUAUGAGAAAACAUAAAGAAAAAAGGAAAAGAUCAAAGCGACUAGUGCUAUAUGCACUUUUAUUAUUUAGGGCUAUGCAUAUAUACGCUUUUUUGCCCCAUAUACUAGGCUAGGGUGUACCAGUAUUCGUAGUUAUGUAUAUGCACAUAUGUGUCAUAAUCAGUUGUCAUUAUUAGUCUAUAUCUUAUAAUCAAUCAAGGACAAAAAAAAAUUAUUAAUAAUUCACACACCCUACAUAUGUCUAAUGAGGUUUGAUCACAUGACUUUAAAGUUGUUAGUCAGACACUUUAACCAACCAAGCCACGGCUCACCGACACUUUAAUUGAUGAUUUGAUGUGAAGGUAGACAAUACAUUUCUUCACGUAAACAAACUUUGUAGGUCGAGAGGAUCAAAUAGAGUUACUUUAAAAAAAUUACAAAAUAGAAAGAGAGAAGAACGUAGCAAGUCAUAAACUUCUUAACGUACAAUCUGCUACCUACCUUGAUCCGUAUACACGUGUUCUACAACAUAUACAUACUUAAGAAAAUGUAGCAACUAUUCUACAACAUAAACUUCUUAACGUACGUACUGCAAUAUAUUGGAGUAUUUGGACAUAUACUUUGCAUUUUAUUCUGUUUUGAUUGGUAUGUACGUGCAGUUUAGUGAGUCCAUAAACAAUCUGAUGAUCUGGAUUACAAGUUGAACAUAUAUUUAAACUAGCAACUAACAUCAGGUAGAUGAGAAUGAUAUCAGAAAUUUAGACUUGGGAUGUAUAAAAUAAUACAGAUUAAAUUCGUAUAUAUGUGCAGUGUGACUGAGUUUUCACAUAGUUAAUCAGUACUAGUAAAUGUGUCCAACUGUACAUCAUUGUCAUAUAUACAACUAUAUAUGGAAAAUUUAUGAUAUUGGUAGAAAAAACUUGAUAAUACUGGUAGGGAUAGUGAUCAUCGUCCAAUACAAGAAUAAGUGACUCAGUGGAGAAACAAAAGUUAGGUGAAAUGAGCCAUCAGGUUUCGACGUCCUUUUUAUUCUAUCAUAUACUUCUGUUUUCAAAGAGAUUUUUCAUUUUUCAGAUUAAUUUCACCAAAAGAUCUUGAAAUUGCCAGGUAAAAUUCACUAAGAAAAAAUACUGAUUUAUUUUACAGGUCCUUCCAUCAUUAUAACAGACUCGAGUACUGUAUCAGAAGAAUUACAGAGAAGAUUGGUAAAUACGUUUUUGUUAUGAUUAAUUAGCUCAUAGUUUGUAGUGAAAUAUAAUGAAUAAUUUUGAUCAUAAAAUCGACAAAGUGGAGGCAUAUUUCAUCUCCUCAAUUCCUCGUGCAGUACAUGUUGUCUUACUCGAAAAUUUGCUAGUACAAGUUGAUAUAUGUACAAACAAUUGCAACCUUGCAAACACAAUGGCAGUAGUACUGCGUGCAUAUAUGGCUAGGGUUUCUUAGAAUUCAGAUGCUUUGCGCAGACAUGGACGUAUAUGCUUAUCGUUGAUGUAGCAGCAGAGUCCCACUUGUGCAACCAGCAUGCUAAAAUCUAAGAACUAGUUGGCAUGUUGUGAGCUUAUAAUUAACCCUGAUGUGAACGAGACUCUACCUUUUUCAUUGCAAACAAGAGUACUUGAUCAAUAUAUAUAUGCAUGCACAUAUUAGAAGAGCCUCGACUGUUUAUAAAGGAGCUUUAUUCGUUCGCGCAUGACUUUCACUUGGUUGUACUUGUACUUGUCCUCUCUGCGAGAGAUAUAGAAGAUGUCAGUUCACAUUUCACAUUAUUGAGUCUGCGCCCAUAUACCAUUUGGUGCUUUAUGCAAAGUUUUGUUCUGUGUGGGAUACCGCCGUGCCUUUUAGUUCGUAGUGUAGUCGAAAGUCAUGCGAUUUAAGUCAUUCAUUAUCUGGGAUGCAUCGUAAACAAUGACUAAUUUAGCAACUUCCCUUCUUGUUCAUUAUGACUACGUGAUCAUCUAUUUGGUUUUUCUUUAGCAUAGUCAAUCUGAUAUUUAUAUACUAUCACAAGGAAAAUUAAGUCACCAGAAGGUAAAACCUUUCUCGAUCUACAGCUGAUAGUCAAUCUGGUAAUUCAGUCAGUUUAACCUACUACGUACUGGUGAAGCGUCAUUUUCAGAUUAUGUAGAUAUUUUCAGCAUUAGCGUUAAAUAUAGCAAUAAACUAAACUCAUCCAAACAUCCCACUUGAAGAAAGAACCUAAACUCAUCCCCAAACCUAAUAAACUAGAAAGAGUCAAGUACCUCCAUAGUUUUCAAUUCCUUAAGGGAAAGCCAGGCCUAUUAAACUAAUUAAAAGAGGUAAGUACCUUUCAUAGUUUUCAAUUCCUGAAGUGAAAGAUCAGAAAGGGACAGCCACUGCAUAAUUAGCAUAUCAGCAAGAGGAGCAAAGCUCCUGCAUAUCAAACGUAUUGUAUGCACAUGGUGAUGCCUGCUGCGAAAUCUGCAAUAAUCUAAUCAGAAGUUUAUAGCUUCAUGCCGUUCUUGGCCGACACCUAUAUAUAUUAUGAGGUAGAGCAAACUAUUUUCAUUAACUAAUAGUUUAAUACAAUGACUAUAUCAAACUCGUUAACACCGUUUCUAGAGGUUUUGUUUUGUAAUUUGUAUUUCCUUUACACAAUGGCGAAAUUUAUUUAACACUUAACAGCCAUCGAAGUCGGAAGAAAAGGUAGAGAAGGCAACACCUAGCUGGACACAAUAAUAACGAGAGGACAAGGAUUCCAAGUCUUCCUUCCACGUUAGCAUAUAAACUAUAAACACUUGAUCUUUCUCCAGAAAUUGAUAGCAAAACUCCACACACACCUGACACCUCAUCAACGGACAACGAGGACCACUCGAAAUAACGCCGGAGGGGAACACAAGUCCAUCUUUGAUCUCUAAGUAAAGGGUGAAAUGAUUUAGAUGCAGACUCUUGGAAGAGAGCAAAUAUUAUAAACAACCAAGAGAGGUCUAUUUCUUGCUUGGUGUCCAAGCCUCAUAUUGACCUCCCUCACUAUAGGACAAUCUCGUGGUGGUGCCCUUGAUUAGACCGUUACCUUUUUGGGGAAGAUGACCCCAGUGGCAUGCAUGUCGGCACCUGGCGGCUUGUGAUUGAACUGUGCAGAUUGCUAGGUGACGAGUGGGUGCCGUGUGGCUUUGCUUGGUCAGUACAAGGGCCACAGUCUAGGGUGGUUCCUUUCUCGACACUUCAGAGUUUUGGGUGCUUGAUCUGGAUGGUGGUUUGGACCAAAAUGAUACAAGAGCAUUAUUCAUUCCUUCCUUCUCAUUUUGAAGAGAAUUGGUUUAGAUAGAGCUCUUAAAGACCAGCAAAUAAGCAAGUAGUGGAAGAGAAUUGCCUUUCUAAAUGCAUAAUGUUUUGCAAGAGGGGCAAUACUAUUCUCUGGGCAACUCAGGGCCAAAAUGAAUUGUCUUUUGCGAGAGGGGCAAUACUCCUUGGCAACGUAAGGCUAAAAUGGCGUACACCACAAUGUCAUAUGGGUAUUGCCCAGAUUGGAGCAGUAAUUGGUAAUGCUCUGCGUAGCCGUCGAAACAUACUCAAAACAGUUCCAAGAUAUACAAGAACAAUGGUCAGUUCAGACACUAACCAAUUCAACUUGGCCAUAGUCCAAGCCAGAAGAGGCCAAGACUUCGGAAAUCAAAAUAGCAAAACUGCUCAGAGCACCAGGAUAAAAUUGGGAGAAGAGACGUUGGAUUAGAGGAUGGAAAGGAAAGAGAGAAUUGUGCUAGCUUAAAAGCAAAUAGUUUAACCAUUAAGCAAUCCAUACAAUCCAUUUGAACGCUCUUCUACUUACAUUAACACUACAAAAUAAGCAAAGCUGAGCUCAAAAUAUGUUCCACAGUCAGAGCACACCAAACUUCUAAGCCAAACAAAAUCAGUCAGCACAACCACAUUACCCCAUUUACUGGAUCUUGGCCCUUGAGAAGUCCAUUUCUGGAUGCUGCAAAGUGAUGAUGCGUAGACAUUAGCGAAUUUGAUAGCAGGUGCCAGAAAAUAAUUUCCUAGAAGUGAACAACAAUAGUGUAUUAGAGCCAAAAUACAUUACCUCAGACAUAAAUUUCUUCAAGAUCUCCUGCUUCUGCAUCUCCUCACUGGUUGGAAGGCCCAUCUGCUUCUGCCGCUGGUCAAACUGUUAAGUAAAACAUACAGAGCUUAGAAAUCAUUUGUUCACAAAGAGCAUAAAUUGCUCCAGAUGGGUUCUCGUAAGUUUCAAGAAGAGGAAAGUGGGAAACAAGUUAAACAGCUGUAGAGUUUACCAUCAUCUUCUCAACAGUUUGACGUGUUUCUGAAUCUAGGUCCGACAGUUUGCUAGGCUCUGGUUCAACUUUUUGAGUGUCAAUUUCAGGGUCACCUUUCAGCAGAGCUUUCCACCACUCCAGUUGGUUGUGUUUGGUCAGGAGAAUAGAGACAGCAGUUUGAUCCUCUGCAAAGGUGAUGAAACGCCAUUAAAUCACUUAACCAGCCACAAGUGAGUACUCCUCCAUAACAGGUACUACAGAAGAUAGCAACUAACAUGAAGCAGUCUCCAUAAACACAAGCAUUUAGGUGUGCCAUCAUUACCAUUUAGGACUCUAAAUUCUCAUUUAACAGUGAACAGAACAAGAAAGAAAUGUCAUGAUUCCACAUGCACUAACAUACCUAUGCUCCAUAAGCAAUCAUCAGGCUUGAUAGACUGAUAGAGCUCCCCCUGGAAAUAUUAACAUACAUUAGAACCAGUCCAGAAUAUUUAACAGAAAUAUCAGUUAAUGCAGACUAGAACAAUCAUCAUCGGAUAUAAUCAGUGUUUUGAUAAAACUAUAUUAGUCAUCCACCCACAUUCUCAUUUGCCGCUAUUUUUGAUCAUGUAUGAUCUCUAACAAAUUUUACUGUUCUUCUUGAAAUUUACCAUUAAGUAAACUACUAUAUGGAAUUAUGCAUUCAUAAUACAGCUAGUGAUUUGUGGUAUAUGACAAACCACUAUAUUAGUCAUUCAAACACAUUCUCAUUUGCUGCUAUUUAUGAUCAAGUAUGAUCUCUAACAAAAUUACUGUUCUGCUUGAAAUUUACCAUGUAGUGAACUACCAUAUGCAUUCAUAAUACAGCUAGCGGUUUGUGGUAUAUGACAGGCCAGUAAUAUAAAUUAUAAAGUAACAGACUUACAUCAAUUAUAAGAGGCUGACCCUUCAAUCCAAACUUCAGACGGUUCUUCUUUGCCUCAUAAACAAUAUCCCUUGAUUUAGUUCCAGCAGGCACUGGGAUGAUUAUAUUAACCUCCUGCAGACUCUGGGUCCAUGAGUAUUUCUCCAAAUCAAGCCCAUUCCCUUUGUUUGGAACUGCACAUAAAACGUCAGAGUUACAAUUAUGAUGAAUAUACAACUAUACUCUGUGUACUAGGGGCAGCCGAUACAAUUAGCACUUGUAUGAGAAAUUGAAUACCACAACAAUCACAUUCUCUUUCCCCAUGCAUAUGGUUUAAAAUGUCCAAUUUCUUACAAACCUCCAGAUAUGCCACAGAACAACAAAUUCAAGACCUUCAACAUAAAUCACCCAGUUUCAGUUUAGCAGUUCUCACACUGAAUCUUCAACCAAAUCAGCCUCCACAUCCUAUCACAUUUCCUAAAAUCCAAACAUACGAAACAACCACAUUGCAGAACCACAACACAUCUACUAACAGAUUCCAAAUUCAAAACUUUCCACACUAUAUAAACACAUUGUUCUUCAGCGAAAUUCCAAACCAAUUCUAGAGUUCAUACAUUUUAUCCCACUGUCUUCCACAUAUGCAAACACAUGUUUUUCCCUAAAAUCUCAAAUCAAACAUUUCAAAUUUACAUAUCUCAUUCCUAAUUCCACCAAUCAAACAAAACCAUAACAAUCAUAUAAAUUAUAUAAACCCAUUGUUCCUCAGCCAAAUUCCAACCAAAUUCUAGAGUUCAAACAUUUCAUCCCAUUGUCUUCCACCCUAUACAAAAACACUUCUUUACUCAACAAUUUCAGUUUUACACAUCUCAAUUCCUAGUUUCAGCAAUCAAACAAUAUCAUAAAACCAUAUAACUAUACGAAUCGAAAAGUUCAUAUCUUUGAACAGCUAAUGAUCCGUACCUCUCUUGCCACUCUUCUCCUCCACCUUCUUCUCCUCCGCCUCCUUCUCCUUCUUCUCCUCCGCCACCACCUUCGUCUCCGCCUUCGCCUCCUCCUUAGCCUUCACCUCCGCCUCCGCCUUCUUCUUCUUCUCCUCCUCCUCCUCCGCCCACCUCUUCUUCCUCUCCUCCUCCAUCUUCUUCCUCUCCCUCUCCCUCACCGCCUUGAAAAUCGCCACCAGAUCCCUCUCCGCCGUCGGCCGCCGCAUGAAAUCGCUCUCCUGCGCCAGAAACUCCAGCGCCUUCUCCAGAAACCCCGACGUGUUGUUCCGAUCGAACUUCGUGCUGAACGACGUCGCCGCCACUCUCGCCCCCGACGACGAUGAACCCGAACCCGACGCCGAUUUGGCUUGCGGCGGAGACUUCUGUUGCUGCUCCUCUUGGAUAUCGGAGAUGAUCGCCAUGGCUGAUCGGAAAGUUGUGAGCUUUGGGAUUGUUAGGGUUUAUGGUGCUCUGUAAUUUUUUGGAGCUCUAUUUAUGUAGUGAGGGACUCAAAUCGGUCGAGAUUAACAGAGAGAGUUCCAGAAGGCUUUUUUUUUUUUCUUUUUUUUUUUACAGUUGCGAUUAAACUCUCCUAAUUUGUUGCAAUCACGAUAAUACCCCCCAUUAAGACUCGAGUUCUUCGGAUCAUAGUCCAACCCUAAUUUUGGACAGCAUUUUUUGAGGCUUUCUAUUUGCUCGGUCUAGACUCUAGACUAGGUAUGGAUUUACAAUUGAUAUGUGUAACGCAUUGACUUUGAGAUUAAAGAAAUGCCAAUUUGUUAGAUACAAUAAUGAGAAAUGAAAAAGCCGAUCAUAGAACGCACGCACCUCAGGUUUCCAACAAAUUUAUGAAGGAAAGUUAAUAAACGAGAUGUUUCAUUUUUAUUAGGGAAUAUGUCGUGUUUUUAUUAAGGAAUAUGUUGAAGAAUAGUUCUUUAGAUGUAAUUAUUCUUCAACAACUUCUCAAGGUCUAGGAUCAACACAUCGAUCAACAUUAUAUGCAAUGUCGGUCAAAAAAAUGCGACAACAAUGUGUGAGAGACAAGAAAACAAAACGAUGAAAACGUAUGUGUAGCAUAGUUUGAAAUCAUUAGCAUAUAUGAGAAAUAAUGAAAUUAGGCUGCAUGCGUUUGGUAGCUUGAGUACUCAAGAUUGCUAUUACCACCAAAUUAAAAAGGAUGAAGGAGGUCAGAAGCUCAAGUAAGAAUCACCCUAAGAUGUGUUUAUUGUAUUUUCACAACAGUACAUGAGGCAAUAUAUAGAUUUUGUUCUGCAAUAUUUACUUUGUGUGCCUUGGUCUAAUCCUAAUAGGAAAAGGAAUUCGGUCUAAUGCUAAUAUGAAAAGGAAUUUGGUCUAAUGCUAAUAAUUCAAUCUACAAUCUCCUAACUUCAGGAUUCCAUUGACAAUAGUGAAAGCUUCACUAUGCACAACAGCACUAGCGCUUUCUUCUUUCGAACCCACCCACAUCUUUAGAAACCACAUAAGGCUUGCAGUCCAAAUGAUCAGUAGUUGUAUUCUUGUCUGGCAAUUGAAAGUACGUACUCUUUUGUCUCGAAUGCCCAUGUAUCAACAAUGUUAUUUCCUGCAUUACACAACACAUCGGACCGUGGCAUUUCCACACGAAUUGGGACAUUGCAUAUGGUGCUUAAGACUAUCACCAACAUGAAUUGAUGCAACAACAUGGACAUUUUGCUUAUCCAUCGUCUUAACAUUCUUAUCAGACUUGUCAUUAUCACAAAUCACAUCAACACUAGAUAACUUGCCACCAAGCACAUAACUAAUACCACCACGACCAUUAUUCAUGAAGCUGAAAUUCCCAAAAGAUGUAGAAAUGGCAUCGUCGAGCAGAAGAAACUCCGAAAAUUGCUCUUCUGGUAUUUGAUGGUCUUAUGGAGCAUGGAUGCUCCAUGCUCCUAGCCAUUCUACAACAACUUUGCGUGACUGUUAUAACUCCUAUAUCUUUGAAUUUGUUAUGACUGCUUCUUUGCGAGGCUGUUAGUACAACAACUUGAUUUUGCUUUGGUUCUUGAUUUAUGUUUUAACUACCAUAUAAUUCUUUCAUCAUCUUGGUUAUUAGGAACCUACCAGUUUCCUGUAAAGACAUGACAUCCAUAUUUGAAUAAAAGGUUCAGACAUGACACUUUGCAACAAAUUUUAAUGGGCAACAUUUUCUUGAUUGAUGAUAUGCUCAAUAGUUUUUAACUUCUCUAAAAAAAUAACCAUUACAACAUUUCAUUCAGUUUUUUUGGAGUUCUGAAACUUUAAUUAACGGACCAAAAGUGCCUUAUGUCUGAAGUGUGGUUGCUGCUCUCAAAUUGCUACUAGCCUACUACUGCCCUUCAUCCAAUUGCUACAAGCGUAAUGUGAUUCUCAUCUUCACUAAAUUCAAUGCCUUGCUCAAUCAUGAAUAUAUAUACCAGAAGAACUACUCUAGGGAACAUGACUUCCAUCAUUUCUACCAUCUCUCUCUAGUUGAAAAAAGGUACAAUUACAUUGGGUGACACAUCUGCAGCAGCUUUGGCAACCAUAUACUUCCUCUGCUCUGGGUUGUCAAUACCACGUGAUUCAUAAUCUUCAAUAGCUUUUUCUUCAACCUUGUCUUUUUUUUUUUAGGUACUUGUCAUGUUCUUCUCUAUUAUGUCUUUAUAUAGUUUCAUCAAAUGUUGAAAGACAAACUUGUAGUAAUAAAUGAAUCCCUUACCGUUCUUGAGAUACUCCUCUCCAUAUUCAUUGUAGACAGCUUUAAAGAAUUUGGUUGCUUCUACCUUUCGUUUAACGACAUCAUCUAUAUUUGUUUCUAUGCUCAAAGUCAGAAUAUACUCUUCAAGGUCUGCCCAUAUUCCUUGGUAGGUUUUUGCUCUCUGUGAAAACGUAGGAUAUGCAUGACACAUGAUCUCCCUUAUUUCUUCGUCUGUUAACAGUGAAGGAUGAUAGAAUAAUUACCGAAAUUUGUUCCUACAUGCAAGUGAGAAUGUAAAAACCAAGAUAAUAUGUUGAACUAUUAUUGUUUGUUUACGUUUUUUUAUAUUACUAAACACUUUAAAUGAAAGUGAUUAUGAUUACUGAAAUAUGCAAUUGUUAUGGCAAUUAACGUUCCUAGCUGACUCAGUUAUGUUUUGUUUACUUGCACAUUGUUAUCCACUCUUACUAGCAUCUGUAGGAAAUAUUUGAAUUCUCCAGGAUAAUCGUGUUCCUCUGGAUGCAGCUUCUCGGCCAAGCGAUAUAGGGAUUCUGGGUACAGAGUUUGAUACUCUUCAUGGUUCAAUGUGUACCUUCCUCCGGCAUUUACAACUAUGUUGUCAACGGUUAGUUUGCCUAUUAAGUUUCCAUUUCUCAUCAUGUUGAUACAGUUCCAAAUGGUGUCCUUGCAUUUGUUUUUAAGAGAUCAAAUAACACAGUCAACCAAAAUUGAUUGCAUAAUAUGUAGAUAAAUUAUGAGACUUGUAAUAGGGUAAUAGAAUGAUAUGUUAAUUCUUUAUUAUCUUAUAUAUGUUAUAGGUUCUUGUCCAGAGUGUAGUUUUUUUGUUUAUUGUUUUUGUUUUGUUGAUUUGGUGCAGAUGGUGGUGGUGAUGAUGAGAGAUGUGUGUGGGGUUGGACACAAGAAGGUCUCUUGAGGUUCUGCAGAACUCGUCUCUGAUUUUUGCAGAGGAGAGGAUUCCUAUGAAGGACCCUAUUGGCGAGUUUCAUAAGUACACUGGUGGUUAGAAAAUAUCAGCAAUGAUCAUGACUGGGCUGUGAGUUAUUGUAAUCUUUAUAUUAGUUGCAACAAUCAUUUGUUUAGUGCUAAUUUCAAUUUCACAUUAUUAAGUACUAGAUUGUGUAAUUAAAAAUCUUCCAGUUCUCAUCAACAAAGGCAUGCGUACAUUAUGAUUAUACAUCAAUUAUGUAAGGCGACCGUGAUUGUAAUGCACGUAUCUUCUGUAUGAUAUUGAAAACUACAACUAUUAUCCAACUUUGUCUUCUAUCUUCUGCCUAAGAUUGUAAUGCAAGUCUACUUUUUGUCUACAACAACAGCUAUCAAUGUAAUACGCAAUGAAAUGUGUAAUGCAAUAAGCAGCUAUCAAUGUAAUGCGCAAUGUAAAACAAAUUGUUUUGGAAGAAAGAACAAACAACAGCAACCGAAAGAUUGCAAGAAGAAGUUGGUUUGGUAGUGAUGCACAAUUUACAUCUAUCAAGGUAAUGCACAAUUAAUGUAAGGCCUCGAAAGCUAGUUGCAUACCUGUAUAGUUGGUACACAGCCCUUGGAACCUUGUUCUUCGCAACAAGGUUUUCUGCAAAUGAAUCAUAAUUCUCCGGAUGGGGAAUUAUGUCCUCUCUCAAUGUCAACUGUUUCAUAGAGUAAAUUAAAUCAAUACGUGAAGGUGUUAUAAUGAUAAUGAGAUCAUCUUGGUUAUUAGGAACCUACCAGUUCCCCUGUAAAGACAGGGCAUCCAUACUUGAAUAAAAGGUUCAGACAUGACAUUUUGCAAUAAAUUUUAAUGGGCAGCAUUUCUUGAUUGAUGAUAUGCUCAAUAGUUUUUAACUUCUUUGAAAAAAUAAACAUUACAAUAUUUCAUUCAGUUUUUUUGGAGUUCUGAAGCUUUAAUUAACAGACCAAAAGUGCCUUAUGUCUGAAGUGUGGUUGUUGCUCUCAAAUUGCUACUAGCCUCCUACUGCCCUUCAUCCAAUUGCUACUAGCGUAAUGGAAUUCUCAUCUUCGUUAAAUUCAAGAAAAAAAUUCAGUUUAUUACCCUGAACUUUAGGUCUAAAAUCAGUUUGAUACCUCAUCUUUUUUUUUAAUCAAUUUCAUACCUAAACUUUCAAAAUGACAUCAAUCUCGACCAAAAUGACUAAAAUAGCCCUGAUUAAUCUUUUUACCCUCUCUCUCCCUGCCUCCAAAUCCACCACAUGGCCGGCGCCGGCAUCCACCCCUACCACCAGCAAUGGGCCCCGGCGGCAGCCCCUCCUCCUCCCCCGGCCGUCGCCGCUGCCAUUCUUAACUCUGAGUGGGUAAAAAGAUUAACCAGGGCUAUUUUAGUCAUUUUAGUCGAGAUUGAUGUCAUUUUGAAAGUUUAGGUAUGAAACUGAUUAAAAAAAAGAUGAGGUAUCAAAAUGAUUUUAGACCUAAAGUUCAGGAUAGUAAAAUGAAAUUAUC